UCAUUGAGUAGCCCCAAGUGCAUGAGCCACCCAAUAGCACCCUGACCCUGUGGGCCCCGGUGCAGCUGCAUUAGCAAGAUCGGUGGUAGUUCCGCCACUGGUUUCCUCCCUUUAAUUCUCCUACCUCCCUAUCCCCUCUGUGUUUUUACCCCUCCCUCUCCCUUCCCUUUGCUGGAACAGAUCGUGCCCUUUCAUGACCAAAAAGCUUGUCAAGAUAG